CCCAGAACAUGAGACUGGGUUUGACAUCAAGUGCUUCAAACAUGAAGAGCUGUUCUGAUAUAAAUGGGCAUUUGAGUAGGUUAUACAAAAUCAGGCUUGGAGAACAGCGUGGUGGAGGAAGAUUCACUCUUAAGCAGCCAGAUGAGUGACACUGAGGCAAGAUUCAGAAGAUCCAGACCAGUGAAUGUUUGCCUGUUUAUACAAAGAACAAAGAACAAAGUAAGACGAGGAGACCAACAGUCACUCUGUAAGAUGCCAUCUGAGGGUGACAGAGGAUGCCAAGUUGCCUCCACUGAAGAAACAACUGUAUGCUCUCAUCAAAAUAGAACAAAUACUGGGCUGUACUAGCAGUGAUUUGAAGAUUUUCCAGAUCUGCUUCUCCUCCACUAGAUCUCUUCUUCCAUUUUGACCUGCUGACAUACGUUUUUUUGGGUCAUCCAAGUCAUUCAAGCAUCUCUUCUCUACGUCAUCUCAUUUAUAAAUGAAGCCCUGCACAAGCAAUGACACCACCUCAUCUAAUGCUGCAGAUCUUCCCUGAAUGCUGGAAACCAAAAGGCUUGUUAAGAACACGCUGUAAUAAAAGUUG